rnacentral:tRNA from 1 species
GCCCGGUUAGCUCAGUCGGUAGAGCAUCAGACUUUUAAUCUGAGGGUCAAGGGUUCAAGUCCCUAUUGGGCG